UACGUAGGGGGCAAGCGUUGUCCGGAUUUAUUGGGCGUAAAGAGCGUGUAGGCGGCCGCACAGGUCCGUUGUGAAACUGGAGGCUUAACCUUCAGACGUCGAUGGAAACCGUGCGGCUAGAGUCCGGAAGAGGAGAAUGGAAUUCCUGGUGUAGCGGUGAAUGCGCAGAUAUCAGGAAGAACACCCGUGGCUAAGGCGGUUCUCUAGUACGGUACUGACGCUGAGACGCGAAAGCGUGGGGAGCGAACAGG
rnacentral:rRNA from 1 species